GACGAACGCUGGCGGCGUGCUUAACACAUGCAAGUCGAACGAAGUGGCGAACGGGUGAGUAAUACGUGGGUAACCUGCCCUCCUUUUUGGGAUAAGCCUUGGAAACGGGGUCUAAUCCCGACUAAAGGGGGAUGGGUGCGCGGCCUAUAGGUUUGUUGGUGGGGUGAAGGCCUACCAAGGCGGUGACGGGUAGCCGGCCUGAGAGGGUGACCGGCAACAUUGGGACUGUGAUCAGGCCUAGACUACUACGGGGGGCAGAAUUGGGGGAUAUUGCACCAUGGGCGAAAGACUGAUGCAGCGACGCCGCGUGGGGCAUGCAGGCUUUCGGGUUGUAAACCUCUUUCGCUAUCGACCGGGUAGGUGGAGAAGAAGCGCCGGCUAACUACGUGCCAGCCGCCGCGGUAAUAC
rnacentral:rRNA from 1 species